GCAUUCUGUGGCUGCUCUCCAGGCUUCUUUCGUGUAGUUCUCAGGAGUUUGAUCAUCACAUGUCUAGAACAUGAAUUUGGUGUGAGGUGCAGGCUGUCCUGUCUGAAGUUUCCUGAGGUUCCUGAACCUGUAGGUUUCCACGUUUUGCCAGGUAAACUUAAUUAACAAGAGCACUCCACCUCUGAAUCAUCUUACUAAGUGGGUUUUUACCUCAAACAACUUUGGCUGAAUAAAGGUCGAUGGACAAGGACACCUACACUGUGACUGCUAUUACAUAAUUGAACACAUGCUUAGCGUAUAAAUAAUUUCUAAAACCACAGAGGCCAAACCACAGUGGAAAAUUCAGCUACUCUGGAGAGAAAUAGCAAAAUUAUCUUCUGCAAAGUUUCCUAUUCAGUAACCUCAGAACUGGAGCAGGGAAAAUGUUCUGGAAGCCAGCAGCUUAGGAGACUAACGUGUCCACCCCACAGCAGUCGAGGACAUUUCUUCCUGGGAAGCUUCCGUGGCCAGUUGAUCCAGAAACGUCAGUCACCAAUAGAAAAGAGAACUCUAAGUGGUGGUCACAGCCGACACAUGAACCCCAGCUGACCAUCCAUCCGCUCCCGAGGCCAGAGGCCAGCGGCACAGUGAGCACAGCUCUUGCACCGCAGGGAGCACUGGCCCUACGCGGUCACCGCCCCCCGACGUCCAGCCCUCCCUGCCCUCUCCCUCUCCUCUUCACACCUUCUCCUGACCCGCCUCUCUUUCCACUUUCUCCCUCGUCUCCCCCCCCGCUCCCCUGCUCCCCGCUUACUUGACCAUAAUGAAUCAACUGGAUAUGUAUUUCUCUGUUCUUAGAAAGUUGGCCAUUUUACAGACUUUUAAAUUUUGCAAAAUAAUGUUUGUAAAUAAGCAGAAACAAUGUUUGCUUAAACACUCUAUUUCCAAGUUUUCUGCAUCCUCCAUUUGCUCAGAAAA
rnacentral:lncRNA from 1 species